rnacentral:rRNA from 1 species
GGUUAAGCGACUAAGCGUACACGGUGGAUGCCCUGGCAGUCAGAGGCGAUGAAGGACGUGCUAAUCUGCGAAAAGCGUCGGUAAGGUGAUAUGAACCGUUAUAACCGGCGAUGUCCGAAUGGGGAAACCCAGUGCAAUUCGUUGCACUAUCGUUAACUGAAUACAUAGGUUAACGAGGCGAACCGGGGGAACUGAAACAUCUAAGUACCCCGAGGAAAAGAAAUCAACCGAGAUUCCCCCAGUAGCGGCGAGCGAACGGGGAGCAGCCCAGAGUCUGAAUCAGCUUGUGUGUUAGUGGAACGGUCUGGAAAGUCCGACGGUACAGGGUGAUAGUCCCGUACACCAAAAUGCACAGGCUGUGAACUCGAAGAGUAGGGCGGGACACGUGGUAUCCUGUCUGAAUAUGGGGGGACCAUCCUCCAAGGCUAAAUACUCCUGACUGACCGAUAGUGAACCAGUACCGUGAGGGAAAGGCGAAAAGAACCCCGGCGAGGGGAGUGAAAAAGAACCUGAAACCGUGUACGUACAAGCAGUGGGAGCACCUUCGGGUGUGACUGCGUACCUUUUGUAUAAUGGGUCAGCGACUUAUAUUCUGUAGCAAGGUUAACCGUAUAGGGGAGCCGCAGGGAAACCGAGUCUUAACUGGGCGUUAAGUUGCAGGGUAUAGACCCGAAACCCGGUGAUCUAGCCAUGGGCAGGUUGAAGGUUGGGUAACACUAACUGGAGGACCGAACCGACUAAUGUUGAAAAAUUAGCGGAUGACUUGUGGCUGGGGGUGAAAGGCCAAUCAAACCGGGAGAUAGCUGGUUCUCCCCGAAAGCUAUUUAGGUAGCGCCUCGUGAAUUCAUCUUCGGGGGUAGAGCACUGUUUCGGCUAGGGGGUCAUCCCGACUUACCAACCCGAUGCAAACUACGAAUACCGAAGAAUGUUAUCACGGGAGACACACGGCGGGUGCUAACGUCCGUCGUGAAGAGGGAAACAACCCAGACCGCCAGCUAAGGUCCCAAAGUCAUGGUUAAGUGGGAAACGAUGUGGGAAGGCACAGACAGCCAGGAUGUUGGCUUAGAAGCAGCCAUCAUUUAAAGAAAGCGUAAUAGCUCACUGGUCGAGUCGGCCUGCGCGGAAGAUGUAACGGGGCUAAACCAUGCACCGAAGCUGCGGCAGCGACACUAUGUGUUGUUGGGUAGGGGAGCGUUCUGUAAGCCUGCGAAGGUGACCUGUGAGGGUUGCUGGAGGUAUCAGAAGUGCGAAUGCUGACAUAAGUAACGAUAAAGCGGGUGAAAAGCCCGCUCGCCGGAAGACCAAGGGUUCCUGUCCAACGUUAAUCGGGGCAGGGUGAGUCGACCCCUAAGGCGAGGCCGAAAGGCGUAGUCGAUGGGAAACAGGUUAAUAUUCCUGUACUUGGUGUUACUGCGAAGGGGGGACGGAGAAGGCUAUGUUAGCCGGGCGACGGUUGUCCCGGUUUAAGCAUGUAGGCUGGUUGUCCAGGCAAAUCCGGAUAAUCAAGGCUGAGGUGUGAUGACGAGGCACUACGGUGCUGAAGUAACAAAUGCCCUGCUUCCAGGAAAAGCCUCUAAGCAUCAGGUAACAUUAAAUCGUACCCCAAACCGACACAGGUGGUCAGGUAGAGAAUACCAAGGCGCUUGAGAGAACUCGGGUGAAGGAACUAGGCAAAAUGGUGCCGUAACUUCGGGAGAAGGCACGCUGGUGUGUAGGUGAAGUCCCUGCGGAUGGAGCUGAGACCAGUCGAAGAUACCAGCUGGCUGCAACUGUUUAUUAAAAACACAGCACUGUGCAAACACGAAAGUGGACGUAUACGGUGUGACGCCUGCCCGGUGCCGGAAGGUUAAUUGAUGGGGUUAUCCGUAAGGAGAAGCUCUUGAUCGAAGCCCCGGUAAACGGCGGCCGUAACUAUAACGGUCCUAAGGUAGCGAAAUUCCUUGUCGGGUAAGUUCCGACCUGCACGAAUGGCGUAAUGAUGGCCAGGCUGUCUCCACCCGAGACUCAGUGAAAUUGAACUCGCUGUGAAGAUGCAGUGUACCCGCGGCAAGACGGAAAGACCCCGUGAACCUUUACUAUAGCUUGACACUGAACAUUGAGCCUUGAUGUGUAGGAUAGGUGGGAGGCUUUGAAGCGUGGACGCCAGUCUGCGUGGAGCCAACCUUGAAAUACCACCCUUUAAUGUUUGAUGUUCUAACGUUGGCCCCUUACCGGGGUUGCGGACAGUGUCUGGUGGGUAGUUUGACUGGGGCGGUCUCCUCCCAAAGCGUAACGGAGGAGCACGAAGGUUAGCUAAUCCUGGUCGGACAUCAGGAGGUUAGUGCAAUGGCAUAAGCUAGCUUGACUGCGAGCGUGACGGCGCGAGCAGGUGCGAAAGCAGGUCAUAGUGAUCCGGUGGUUCUGAAUGGAAGGGCCAUCGCUCAACGGAUAAAAGGUACUCCGGGGAUAACAGGCUGAUACCGCCCAAGAGUUCAUAUCGACGGCGGUGUUUGGCACCUCGAUGUCGGCUCAUCACAUCCUGGGGCUGAAGUAGGUCCCAAGGGUAUGGCUGUUCGCCAUUUAAAGUGGUACGCGAGCUGGGUUUAGAACGUCGUGAGACAGUUCGGUCCCUAUCUGCCGUGGGCGCUGGAGAAUUGAGGGGGGCUGCUCCUAGUACGAGAGGACCGGAGUGGACGCAUCACUGGUGUUCGGGUUGUCAUGCCAAUGGCACUGCCCGGUAGCUAAAUGCGGAAGAGAUAAGUGCUGAAAGCAUCUAAGCACGAAACUUGCCCCGAGAUGAGUUCUCCCUGAGACUUUAAGUCUCCUGAAGGAACGUU